rnacentral:lncRNA from 1 species
GAUUUAAAUUAGGGAUAACGUUGGGAUAGAGGAUAUAUCUUAUUACAUUCUAUUUAAUUUUCUUAAUUAAAUUAAACUAUAUUUUCAAAUCAAAUGGGAGAAGGACAUGAGAUACAAACAUGGGAUAAAGUUCUAGGAAUUUUCAAGGGGUAAAAUUAUGGACAAAAUUAGGGAUAAGGGUUAUGUCUAAAUAUUCGAUUCUAAUCACUAAUUUAUUUUCUUAAAUAAAUUAAAUAUUUUUAUUUUAUAACACAA